GGAGAUAAAACACUCAUGCACUUCAAGCAGGUUGGCAGAUACUUUUAGAAUAAUUCCAUUAUAAUCAGAAGUGUCAGCGCUGAAUAUAACUGUUCUAGUGCCCUAUAAUUAGGAAAGAGAAAGCAUUUUAUUGUAAGAACAUGUAUUCCAACUGUUACAUACCAGUUCAGACGUUCCCUAACAAACUACCAUGUCUGAUUUUUACUAAUCAUAAAAGGAUAACAAAUGCUGAAGAGGAUGUGGAGAAACUGAAACUCUUGCGCACUGUGGGCGGGCAUGUAAACUGGGAUAGCCACUGUGGAAACCGGUAUAGCAGUUCCUCAAAAAAUUAAAAAUGAAAUUACCAUAUGAUCCAACAAUUCCACUUCCGGCUAUAUUCUCAGAAGAAUUAAAUGCAGGGUUUUGAAGAGAUAUUUGAACACCCAUGUUCACGGCAUAUUAUUCACAAUAAUUAAAACAUGGAAGCAACCCAAGAGUCCAACAGACAAUGGAUCAGCACAAUGUGGUAUAUACAUACAAUGGAAUACUAUUCAGCCUUAAAAUGGAAGGAAAUUCUGACAUACGCUACAACAUGGAUGAAAUGUGAGGACAUUCUGAAUGAAAUAAGCCAGUCAAAAAACAUAUAUAUAGGGUUCAACAUACGCAAAUCAAUAAAUGUGAUUCACCACACAAAUAGAAUUAGCCACAAAAACCAUGUGAUUAUCUCAAUAGAUGCAGAAAAGCCUUUGAUAAAAUCCAACAUCUCUUCAUGAUAAAAACCCUCAACAAACUAGGCACUGAAGAACAUACCUCAAAAUAAUAAGAGCCAUCUAUGACACACUCACAGCCAACAUCAUACUGAACAGGCAAAAGAUGGAAGCAUUUCCCUUGAGGACCGGAACAAGGGAACAGGAUGCCCGCU
rnacentral:lncRNA from 1 species